GGGGAAUAUUGCACAAUGGGCGAAAGCCUGAUGCAGCAACGCCGCGUGAGCGAUGAAGGCCUUUGGGUCGUAAAGCUCUGUCCUUGGGGAAGAAAAAAAUGACGGUACCCAAGGAGGAAGCCCCGGCUAACUACGUGCCAGCAGCCGCGGUAAUACGUAGGGGGCAAGCGUUAUCCGGAAUUAUUGGGCGUAAAGAGUACGUAGGUGGUCUUUUAAGCGCAGGGUUUAAGGCAAUGGCUUAACCAUUGUUCGCCCUGUGAACUGGAAGACUUGAGUGUAGGAGAGGAAAGUGGAAUUCCUAGUGUAGCGGUGAAAUGCGUAGAUAUUAGGAGGAACAGCAGUGGCGAAGGCGACUUUCUGGACUAUUACUGACACUGAGGUACGAAAGCGUGGGGAGCAAAC
rnacentral:rRNA from 1 species